rnacentral:rRNA from 1 species
GAUGAACGCUGGCGGCGUGCCUAAUACAUGCCAGUCGAGCGAACAGACGAGGAGCUUGCUCCUCUGACGUUAGCGGCGGACGGGUGAGUAACACGUGGAUAACCUACCUAUAAGACUGGGAUAACUUCGGGAAACCGGAGCUAAUACCGGAUAAUAUAUUGAACCGCAUGGUUCAAUAGUGAAAGACGGUUUUGCUGUCACUUAUAGAUGGAUCCGCGCCGCAUUAGCUAGUUGGUAAGGUAACGGCUUACCAAGGCAACGAUGCGUAGCCGACCUGAGAGGGUGAUCGGCCACACUGGAACUGCUCCACGGUCCAGACUCCUACGGGAGGCAGCAGUCGGGAAUCUUGAGCAAUGUGCGAAAGCCUGACGGAGCAACGCCGCGUGAUUGAUGAAGGUCUUCGGAUCGUAAAACUCUGUGAUUAGGGAAGAACAAAUGUGUAAGGAACUAUGCACGUCUUGACGGGACCUAAUCAGAAAACCACGGCUAACUACGUG